rnacentral:rRNA from 1 species
GAACGCUGGCGGCGUGCCUAAUACAUGCAAGUCGAGCGAAUCAAUAGGAGCUUGCUCCUGUUGAUUAGCGGCGGACGGGUGAGUAACACGUGGGCAACCUGCCUGUAAGACUGGGAUAACUUCGGGAAACCGGAGCUAAUACCGGAUAAUCCUUUUCCACACAUGUGGGAAAGCUGAAAGUCGGUUUCGGCUGACACUUACAGAUGGGCCCGCGGCGCAUUAGCUAGUUGGUGAGGUAACGGCUCACCAAGGCGACGAUGCGUAGCCGACCUGAGAGGGUGAUCGGCCACACUGGGACUGAGACACGGCCCAGACUCCUACGGGAGGCAGCAGUAGGGAAUCUUCCGCAAUGGACGAAAGUCUGACGGAGCAACGCCGCGUGAGCGAUGAAGGCCUUCG